UACGUAGGGUGCAAGCGUUAUCCGGAAUUAUUGGGCGUAAAGAGCUCGUAGGCGGUUUGUCGCGUCUGCUGUGAAAACUGGAGGCUCAACCUCCAGCCUGCAGUGGGUACGGGCAGACUAGAGUGCGGUAGGGGAGAUUGGAAUUCCUGGUGUAGCGGUGGAAUGCGCAGAUAUCAGGAGGAACACCGAUGGCGAAGGCAGAUCUCUGGGCCGUUACUGACGCUGAGGCACGAAGGCCAGGGGAGCAAACGGG
rnacentral:rRNA from 1 species